rnacentral:rRNA from 1 species
GAUGAACGCUAGCGACAGGCUUAACACAUGCAAGUCGAGGGGCAGCACGGGAGUAGCAAUACAACUGGUGGCGACCGGCGCACGGGUGAGUAACGCGUAUGCAACCUACCUAUCAGAGGGGAAUAACCCGGCGAAAGUCGGACUAAUACUGCAUAAAACAGGGGCACCGCAUGGUGAUAUUUGUUAAAGAAAUUCGCUGAUAGAUGGGCAUGCGUUCCAUUAGGUAGUUGGUGAGGUAACGGCUCACCAAGCCGACGAUGGAUAGGGGAACUGAGAGGUUGGUCCCCCACACUGGUACUGAGACACGGAACAGACUCCUACGGGAGGCAGCAGUGAGGAAUAUUGGUCAAUGGGCGAGAGCCUGAACCAGCCAAGUCGCGUGAAGGAAGAAGGAUCUAUGGUUCGUAAACUUCUUUUGCAGGGGAAUAAAAUGCAGGACGUGUCCUGUUUUGUAUGUACCCUGAGAAUAAGGAUCGGCUAACUCCGUGCCAGCCGCCGCCAGUAAGAC